rnacentral:rRNA from 1 species
CAUUUAAAGAAAGCGUAAUAGCUCACUGGUCGAGUCGGCCUGCGCGGAAGAUGUAACGGGGCUAAACUAUGCACCGAAGCUGCGGCAGCGAUAUUUAGAUAUUGUUGGGUAGGGGAGCGUUCUGUAAGCCUGUGAAGGUGUGCUGUGAGGCAUGCUGGAGGUAUCAGAAGUGCGAAUGCUGACAUAAGUAACGAUAAUGCGGGUGAAAAACCCGCACGCCGGAAGACCAAGGGUUCCUGUCC